UUCGUAGGCGGUUCGUCGCGUCCGGUGUGAAAGUCCAUCGCUUAACGGUGGAUCUGCGCCGGGUACGGGCGGGCUGGAGUGCGGUAGGGGAGACUGGAAUUCCCGGUGUAACGGUGGAAUGUGUAGAUAUCGGGAAGAACACCAAUGGCGAAGGCAGGUCUCUGGGCCGUUACUGACGCUGAGGAGCGAAAGCGUGGGGAGCGAACA
rnacentral:rRNA from 1 species